rnacentral:rRNA from 1 species
UACGUAGGGGGCAAGCGUUGUCCGGAUUUAUUGGGCGUAAAGAGCGUGUAGGCGGCCAGGUAGGUCUGGUGUGAAAACUCGAGGCUUAACCUCGAGAUGUCAUCGGAAACCAUCUGGCUAGAGUCCGGAAGAGAAGAGCGGAAUUCCACGUGUAGCGGUGAAAUGCGUAGAGAUGUGGAGGAACACCAGUGGCGAAGGCGGCUCUUUGGUCUGUAACUGACGCUGAGGCGCGAAAGCGUGGGGAUCAAACAGG